UAAACGAUAAACCACGAAUAUCUUACCUGUUUAAUGUUUGUAUACCGUCAUUAUCAGACAACUUUGAUAAAAAUAGUCGUUGUGAACAAGAGUGUUGAAUAAAUUAGAUCAAGGUGCAGCUUAUAAAUAGGAGAAAAUGGGUUACAAUAAAAAUAAUUUAUAAUGGAAUUAAGUUUGAAAUAAAUUUGAUGAAGGUGGAUUUAAUUGUAAUAUUAAUAAUUAAGAUAAUUUGAUAUAGGCUCUAAAAUAUGUACAUAUCGCCCGUCGUCGCGGGAAAA
rnacentral:rRNA from 1 species